rnacentral:lncRNA from 1 species
AUGCUGCCUUUGGCCCCAUGGGGAUGGGAAGGAGAGAAGCACCCAGCCUUGCUCACUACACUGCCAACACAACCUUUGGGUCUGGGCAACGUGAAACCCCUGUGGGACGUGGCAAUGCGGGCUGGCAGAACGGAUGAAUCCAAAGGAAUCAGGCACAGCUCAAUAGCGAGGGGUUCAGCUCUCAGCCUGCAGCAGCUGCUGCUCGCAGCCAACCACCCAGUGCCAUACCUGAGAGCAUCCCCUGUGUCCCUCGGAACAACCUGCCACGCUGCUGGGAUCAGCACAGCCAACACCAGCACAGAGAGGUACAGCCAGCGGAUGAGCUUCAUUUGUCCUCCUGGAAUUCAGCUUGGACCAAAGGAGUGACCCACGGGUUUCAAGCUUCCAGAUGCAAUGGUCACCAUUGCCACAGCACAUCGUGCACACAGAGGUGAUUUCUGUGCCCAUAGGACUGCCUUUCCAAACACCUUUGGUGUGAGUUGAAAACAUUAAAAAUGAAAGGAGGAAAAAAAAAAAAAAGGGAAUAGAAAAGUAUAUGAAGCAUCUGGGUGCACGAGCACUCGCUGCUGCUUUCUGCAAGCUGAAAUUUAGGCUCAGAGCUCCAAAGAUGGGCAGACACCUCUCUCAAUCCAAGCCCAGUGCUGUCCCUAAAGGCCAGGUCAGUUAUGGGGCUGUUCACCACCUUUUCUUCCAUUGGGGGUGAGCGGAAGCAGCUGCAGAUCUGAGUCAGAGCUUUAUCCCAUGGGACAUCCGGGCUCAGACCAGGGGCUGGGGAACAUCUGGAACUCAUCAGGACAAGGACAAUGGUUCUGCUGGGGUGUCUCCUGCAAGCUGGGCUCAUCCCUUUUAAAUCCAUGGGAACGAGGCUGGAGGGGAGCAGAACUGCCAGCUGUGGGGUGCUGACAGCCCCUGAUGGACACAGCCCUGAGCUCCAUGGCCACCCCGGGGGGCGGCUCCUAAGGGAGCACUGGGGGAACUCCAUGUUUCAGUGCUCAGGGGCUGAAUGUGCCCAUUUCAGCACAAGUGUCCAUUUCAUAGGUGCAGAGAACAGCAAGCCUGAGGGAGAUGGGCCACGUUUCUCCCUCACCCA